rfam:Citrobacter rodentium ICC168, complete genome
AUAACGUGAUGGGAAGCGCUUAGCUUCCCGUGUAUGAUUGAACCCGCAUGGCUCCCGUCUCGUUCGGGGAAGCGCUGAGGGUUCAUUUUUAU